GGCCCGCUGCACUGUGGGUAGGCGGCGGCGGCGGCUGCUACGCGGAGCGGCAGGCGGCGGAGCGAGGCCGCGCGCGCCGAAGAUGGCUGAGAAGCAGAAGCACGACGGGCGGGUGAAGAUCGGACACUACGUGCUGGGCGACACGCUGGGCGUCGGCACCUUCGGCAAAGUGAAGAUUGGAGAACAUCAAUUAACAGGCCAUAAAGUGGCAGUUAAAAUCUUAAAUAGACAGAAGAUUCGCAGUUUAGAUGUUGUUGGAAAAAUAAAACGAGAAAUUCAAAAUCUAAAACUCUUUCGUCAUCCUCAUAUUAUCAAACUAUACCAGGUGAUCAGCACUCCAACAGAUUUUUUUAUGGUAAUGGAAUAUGUGUCUGGAGGUGAAUUAUUUGACUACAUCUGUAAGCAUGGACGGGUUGAGGAGAUGGAAGCCAGGCGGCUCUUUCAGCAGAUUCUGUCUGCUGUGGAUUACUGUCAUAGGCAUAUGGUUGUUCAUCGAGACCUGAAACCAGAGAAUGUUCUGUUGGACGCACACAUGAAUGCCAAGAUAGCCGAUUUUGGAUUAUCUAAUAUGAUGUCAGAUGGUGAAUUUCUGAGAACUAGUUGCGGAUCUCCAAAUUAUGCAGCACCUGAAGUCAUCUCAGGCAGAUUGUAUGCAGGUCCUGAAGUUGAUAUCUGGAGCUGUGGUGUUAUCUUGUAUGCUCUUCUUUGUGGCACCCUCCCAUUUGAUGAUGAGCAUGUACCUACGUUAUUUAAGAAGAUCCGAGGGGGUGUCUUUUAUAUCCCAGAAUAUCUCAAUCGUUCUGUCGCCACUCUCCUGAUGCAUAUGCUGCAGGUUGACCCACUGAAACGAGCAACUAUCAAAGACAUAAGAGAGCAUGAAUGGUUUAAACAAGAUUUGCCCAGUUACUUAUUUCCUGAAGACCCUUCCUAUGAUGCUAACGUCAUUGAUGAUGAGGCUGUGAAAGAAGUGUGUGAAAAAUUUGAAUGUACAGAAUCAGAAGUAAUGAACAGUUUAUAUAGUGGUGACCCUCAAGACCAGCUUGCGGUGGCUUAUCAUCUUAUCAUUGACAAUCGGAGAAUAAUGAACCAAGCCAGUGAGUUCUACCUCGCCUCUAGUCCUCCAUCUGGUUCUUUUAUGGAUGAUAGUGCCAUGCAUAUUCCCCCAGGCCUGAAACCUCAUCCAGAAAGGAUGCCACCUCUUAUAGCAGACAGCCCCAAAGCAAGAUGUCCACUGGAUGCACUGAAUACGACUAAGCCCAAAUCUUUAGCUGUGAAAAAAGCUAAGUGGCAUCUUGGAAUCCGAAGUCAGAGCAAACCGUAUGACAUUAUGGCUGAAGUUUACCGAGCUAUGAAGCAGCUGGAUUUUGAAUGGAAGGUAGUGAAUGCAUACCAUCUUCGUGUAAGAAGAAAAAAUCCAGUGACUGGCAAUUACGUGAAAAUGAGCUUACAACUUUACCUGGUUGAUAACAGGAGCUAUCUUUUGGACUUUAAAAGCAUUGAUGGUAAGGAAGCUAUGCAUGCAUGAGCUCUGAGAAGAUAAAACUUGGCACUAGUUGACCAGAUGUUAAAAUCAUCUCGAAGACAUCCGGUGGGUAGGUCCUGCACUGGUUUUUAAGCAAUCUAGACUUAACCAAAAUGUAAGUGAAGUGAAAAGGAUGAAAGACAUGUUGAAUACCUCUUACCUGGCAUCUUUCCACAAGAAGUAUCUCCGUGGCAUAAAAGAAUCAUUUGAAGUGUUGCCGUGGAGCACAAAUGAAGUAGUGGAGCAGAGAUCUGGUUCCUCAACACCUCAGCGUUCCUGUUCUGCUGCUGGCUUACACAGACCAAGAUCAAGUUUUGAUUCCACAACUGCAGAGAGCCAUUCACUUUCUGGCUCUCUCACUGGCUCUUUGACCGGAAGCACAUUGUCUUCAGUUUCACCUCGCCUGGGCAGUCACACCAUGGAUUUUUUUGAAAUGUGUGCCAGUCUGAUUACUACUUUAGCCCGUUGAUCUGUCUCUAGUUUCUUUCUGUUAUUGCACUAUGAAAAUCAGUUAUAUUCUUUAAAUUUUUAUCUUACUUUUGGAUAAUAUCCACUGCAAUACUAAUUGAGAAACAUGAAUUAUUUCCAGAGGCACACAAUGCUAUUGAAAUUACUGAAAACAAAAUAUCUGACAUCUUAUUUACUUGUAGAAAUCUGUAAUUCUAUUGUGCCUAUGAUAAAUUCACAUAGGCAAUAUCUUUAAUAGGUUAAUAUCGAUGAAGAUUUUUAAUUACAAUAAUGAGUUCACUACAGACGAUUAACACACCACACUGGCGAACCAUCUCAAUGUAAGGGUGGUUUGGCAACACCUCCUUGCUUUGCUGUUUGGUGUAGGUAAAUCUAGUUUACUUCCUAAAUUUCAGUAGGCUUUAUGCUGUGUUUAUGCCCCCAAUUUAUUUUAACAAAAGAAGAUUAAAAAGUAAAAGAACCACGAGUAAGAUAUUAUUUAAAUGUUGAAAUCUUAAAAACCUGCCUCCAAGAUUUCAGAAGCCAAGUUUUUCUAACAGUAUUUGUACAAAUACUGCCUAGUGUAUUCAACAGAAGGACUGUGGUCAUGUAACAGGUAACCACAAUUUUCAGGUUUCUUAAAAACAGCUGUAACUAACUCAGGAUUUUUAUCUUGAGAUUUCCCUGAAUAAUAUAUUUAUCUUAAGAGCCUUCAAGUUUCAAAUUAAUAUUGGAACAUCUGGAAUUGCAACAACUUUUGUCUUUUACAUAAACUUAUGUCAUUUAAAAAAUGUCUUCAAAAUCUACCUUUCUCAAAUUCUUUUUGCCUCUAUUUAUUUUUGCAUUUCACCAACAGUGAUAAAAUAGUUAAAUGAAACAAAGCAAAGUAUCAACAGUCCCUUAAAUGAGAAUCCUUAUCUUUGAUCUUUAUUUUCUGUGUUAGGUGUUAGGGUCCUGGUGCAGCUCAUAAUGCUAAUUCUUCAUUGGAAGCCACUCCCUUCACUUCACCUAACCUAGUCACUAUUGUCUUUGUUCAUUGUUUGAUCCUGAGUGGUUGAUUGAUAUAGCUUUGAAUCUUUUCUAGUCCAAGUUUGAAAACACUGUUCUGGCCCUAAGGGCUGGCUAUGACCUUCACUGUUGAACCUGAUAGGGCAGGGAAGCUUUGAACAUCAAGAAAAAAUUUUUAUCUUAAAUAAAUAUAUAUAUAUAUUCACAAACCAGUGCUUUUAAGCAAAAACCAGAUUUUUGUUUGUUUGUUUUGCUUUGUGCAGGUUUUUUUUAAGAUUAAAAAACACAAACUAUAGCAGGGUAGAUAAUAGUUUAUUGAUUAUAUUUUGUUUUAGUAAAAGUAUUUAAUUUUAAAUUCUGUGUAAUUUAUCUAAUUUGUAUUUAUUCUUUUGUUAUUUUUAUGUUGUAAUUAACACUUAUUUACCUGGAUUACCCUAAAAAAAUUAAGCUCUUGAAAACAAAAAAAUGACAUUACCUUGACAGGCUUCUCUUUGCCAAAAGUAAUGUAUGUUCUACCAAGAAGCAAAUGAGAAUAUUAGACUAAGUUUCUCCUGUGUUCGUGGAAAACAAGUGUGUCUAUCUUUAAAUUUUCUUUGAAUCAGGAGUUUGCGUUGUGUCACAUCAUAUGGCUUUGCAGAUCUUUUAAAAACUGAUGUUAAAUAACUUAUAAGUCCAACUUCUUAAUAUCAAAAUAAAUGAAUAGUUCACCAAUUUGGGAAGGAGGGCGGGUUGCAAUUUGAGAUAGUGUAAGGUUUAAUUAUUGAAAGACUGCCAUCUUGUGGCACCUAAAGGUAAUUUUUACGUGAUUAUUUGUAUAGUGAUAAGCAGUCCUGCUGUGUUAGCCUGGUCCAUUAUAGAUAUGGCAUAGUUUUGGGUUCUCUAAAUGGGUCCAUACCUCUUUUGGGAAAAAACAGGGCCACCUCAUAAUAUUUGCCUGAUUAUGAAUGGAAUUACCUUAGAAAUAAGGAACUAAUCAGAUUACUUAACCCCAAUGACAAAAUCCGCAAAAAUUUUGAAGGCAGAGAAACAGAAGGAAUCCAGUGAUGUUUUAGCUCCAUUAGUCUAAUAGGUCAGAUAUUAAAAAAUUGUUCAUAUCAAAAUUACCUUAUAUGGAUGAUUGCCAUGUUUUUUGAGAGUUAAUUAUUUACUGUUUUCUAAUUCUUGCCAGUAUUUAUGAACAGCUGUAGUUUGAUAUUUACCUACUGAAUUUUAGGAGAACUAAUGGUCACAGUUUGGGUUCUUUUAUGUGUAUGUUUUUAAAACAGCUAUUUUGUGAAUCUAGGUGGUUGGUUUUUAGAGAGAAGAUUUCAGGAGAUGCAGUCCAGCACAAUUAGAGCUAGAACAUUGUUACAGCAGGCUUUUUGUUGCUCAUGGGCAGAUAGAGGGAAAGAAUCAGUUGUUAGCCCCAAAUUUCCACAUUUCAGUCUUGUAAACUCUGGAUGUGGUAGGUAGAUGUGGGCUAACAAUAAUUUCCUCCAGUUAAGACACGGGAGAAGAGCUUCUAUUAUUAGGUUAUAGAUAAGGCCUUAGUUAUAUCUUGGAAAUGGACUCCAUGUAGUUCUAGAACUGCAUUUCCCAAAGUAUAUCCUGUGAGAUGCUCCACAGAAAAAAAGAUUGCAUGGACUAAGUUUGAAAAAUGUUGCAUGCUACUCUUCCCCUCGAAGAUGACAGUGGAUGUCAGCAUUAAAGACUUUGACAGGUCUUUCUGUGAAAAAAAAGAAAGCCAUAUAACUUUGUUGAACUUUGCCCAAAUUAAUUUUUCAUUUUAAAAAACUUAAUAUCCCAUGAAAAAAGGCAAAUUUGGGAAAUACAUUUUUUAGGAAAAUACUGUCCCAGAAUGCCAUAAUUAGGGUAGUUAAUAAUUAACACUUCCAUUUCUCUUACUGGUUGUUGGGAGAAUCUGAUUGAAAAUUAGAAUUACUUUGUUUUAACUUGCAGACAUGUUCAUCAUGAGUGAAUGCUGGAUUAAAUAGAAUUUUCUGUGUCUGCAACUUGUUUCAUGACACCUUGGUUUUCUUAAUCAUCUUGUAUUAUUAUUUGAGUGCAACAUUAUUCUUAUGCAUGGGUGACUGAAAAACCUGAAACAAGAUUACUUGUUAAAAAAAAGUCUAAGAGACUAGUGACUCAUGCUUAUGGCUCUGUGGGUAAUGAAUCAGUGUCACUGAUUCUUACUUUUAAAAUGUGUAGUCAGUGAACAUUUUCUAAAUACUUUUCUUUGGGAUACCAUAUGAAGAUCUAAUUCCUUAUGUUUCAAUGUAGGAACAGCUACCUUCUCAAAUAGAAUAUGCAGGGAGGGAAGUAGGCAAACCAUUUACAAGUUGGGUUUUUGUUUUGAUUAACCUGUUAAGAGACACUUUUGUAAUCUCUAGUGUUUACAUUCCUUUAUACUAGCUAUCUAUAAAGAGAAUCCAGAAGCCUAAAUUAAUCAGAAAUAAUUGUAUUUCUAUGUCAGGGUAUUGGCUAUAUGUAGCAUGAACAAUUCUCCAUUUUCUGCAAAUGGGUUUUUCAGGACAGUUUUAUAAUUCUGAGUUUGCUUUUUCUUAUUCCCUAGACAGUUUGUACUCAGGGAAUACAAAUUGAUUUUUACUGUUAAAUGAGACAUAGUUUAGAAAAAAUCAUAAGCAACUAUUGUAGAUUUUUGAUCUGUUUGGAUUUAUCAGUAGCAUUGAAUAAUGUGCAGUGUACUGAGUUAAUGUAGGCACCUCACUUUCGAUUUAUAAAAUGUAAAAACCUGGAACAUGCCUGCCACAGACACCACUUUGUCUAUUCACCGGGUAAUAAUUUACAUCCUAUUAAUGGUUGUAAAAGCUGAGUGUCUAAAUGCUAGACAUGUUCACAAUUUUGUCUGUUUUUGUUUAUUUGUUUUUAAAGACCCAAACCUUUUCAAUCUUGCAUUUAUUUACUUGGUUCUCCUGUGUCACCCUGUGGCUUUUUAAAUAGGGAAUGUAAUUUAUUUUAAUAGUAGUUCUCAAAGACUCUAUUAAAAACUCUGGACGAGGGAUAUGUGCAAUCUGUUGGUAAGUCACAUCCUAUGUUUGGCCUCAUUUUUAUAACUCCUAAAAUGAGAAAGGUAGAUUUUAACACUUCUAAGGUACCUUUGAGCUUUCAAGUUCUUUUCUGCUUUUCCAUAUGAUUUGUGUUAGUGUUCACUUUUUAUAUAUUUAGAGUUUUUAUAUGAGUGUGAAUGUUUCUGUUUUGAUUUGGUGAGGCAUGUCAAAGGUAUAUACUUGAAUAUUUUUCUAAAUACAGCUGCUGGAGGAAUGCAAAUGGCAAAAAUCAUCCAGAAAACCAAACACGGUGAAACAUCACGUCCAUUUGGCAUGAAGAAAAGCAUUACAAAUUUGGAGUGAUGAAAGUGUUCCAUAUAUUUUUUAUAGUGAUUUUUCGAUCUAGAGACCCUUCAUAUUGUUUACUUACUAUUACAAUAACUUGGAGAGGUAACCAGAGAAAGCAUUUUUGCCAUUUCCAGAUGAGGAAGCAGGACCAGAAAGCUCUUCAUAAAGCUUUAACACCAUACAAGUAUCCAGCAGUGAUCAAUUGCUCUUUAUAGGAAACCACCUUUCCUCUGGGGAAGAACAGUCUGAAUUAAUAAAACAUCAGAGUGGUUGAGUAAUAAAAAUAAACACAGAUGUAUUGCUUUCAAGUCUUAGAGUGACAUAAAGUAGUCUUAAAUAAAUAGUUCUUAUUUUAACCAGUUGAUUGUACUAACGAGAUGUAAUUAUCUGAAGUAUUUAUGAUUAGCAUAUUGGUUUUUAUAAGUAUUUCUGAGUUAUUGAGGGUGCUUAAAAAUGCUGAAGAAACUUUCAAACAUGAUUCUUCUUAUAAUUUUAUGUGAUUCUUAUAGCACAAUCAUUUUUGAAAAAGGAAAACUAGGCUGGGUGUAGUGGCUCAUGCCUAUAAUCCCAGCACUUUGAGAGGCCAAAGUGGGUGGAUCACCCGAGUUCAGGAGUUUGAGACCAGUCUGGCCAACAUAGUGAAACCUCGUCUCUACUAAAAAUAUAAAAAUUAUCCGGUGUGGUGACAGGCUGCUUGUAAUCCCAGCUACUCGGGAGGCUGAGGCAUGGGAAUCUCUUGAACCUGGGAGGCAGAGGUUGCAAUAAGCCAAGAUCAUGCCACUGCAUGCCAGCCUGGGUGACAGCACAAGACUCUGUAUCAAAAAAAAAAAAAGGAAAAAGAAAACUAGCCCCAGUCCCUGUCUAAAUUGUUAUAGUUUUUGACUAUUAUCUGAAUUAGUCUUAUCCAAAUUUCAUAUGCAGAUUGAUAAUUUUUCAUUUUGUAUGUAUAUUACAUGAUAUAACUAUUUUCAUAGAAUAUAUUUCUAAUUUACAAACACUGAAUUAUUAUUAGCUUGAUAGAGUUUCUCCCAAACCUUAUAAAACUUUGAAAUGUACUUAUGUUUGAGCUUUAAAAAUUAUAAAAACUUCACUUAAACAAGUUGCUGGCAUCAUUACUAGCCUUUCCACCUAUAAUUAUGAUGCAUUUGAUGCCACUGAACAGUAAUAGCACAAAGAACAGGUCACACGGUCUAGACUGGACUGAGUUUUAAUUAAACUUCUUCAGCCAUAGCCUGAUAAGAAUCAGGCUGGGUCUAGAAGAGUUAUCAGACUGUAGGCCUGUAUUAAUUUUGCAAGCUAAUGUUAAUGUUUACUGCCAGCCUUGCAUAGCAAUGCCAGUUUGCCGUUGUGACUAUGAUGUGACUUUUGGUAAAAAUGGUUUAUAUCUAAAGUAGUUUAGAUUUUAUGGAAGUGGCUCUUGAUUGUUUGGACAAGCAGGGUAGGUAAAUUUCAAUUACGUUUGAAGUGUAAUUAAAUCCUAGAAUAGAGCACUCUCCAGAAAAAAAAAAAUGAAAAAAGAAUUUGGAGACUAUCCUGGCAUGAAGACUUUUUUGAAUAAUAUGUAGAAUUUUGACAAGGUUCAUACAGUGUGAGCUUUUUUGAGGUGGGCAGGGAGGGUUGCUACGUUGUGUUGAUUUAAAAUUUCAAGGAGGAACAAAAACAUUCUAGCCAAGGAGAAUUGCAUUGUUAAUUUUUUUCUACUAAUUUAAACGUGCAUUUUUCACAGUUACACAUUUGUUUAAGUUUUGCUACCAAAAAUGGCCAUUUUUCUAGACAGAUAACAUUUUCCUAAAGUGGAAAAGAGAUCCACUGUUCUAAAAAAAAAAAAAAACACUAAAUUGUGCCUUCUCCCUUAAAUUAUAAGAAGAGUAAUAGUAAAAACUUGUUUAAACUAUAUUUUCUUUUUUUCUAAUCCCUCUCAGUUCUCCUUAGAUCUGCCUCCUACAAAUGAUCAUGUUGUUUGCAUCUGCCUGAUUGAGUUCCCUUGGUCAAACCUCUCACUAUCACUAUCAGAAGUUGUUCACUAAAUGUAUUUUCCUACUUCUUUCAUGUUGAUUGACUUUAUAAGUCACCUUGGUAAACAUAACAUUUGGCCACCUUCUCAUGCUUUAUAAAUGAAUUUAAUGAAUGGCAGUUUUUAUAUUUAACCCCUUUAAAAAGUUUGUCAAGGAAACAACUCAGAGCUAAGAACAAAAUCUAACUUGGAAUCAGUUUCUUCCUUUGGCUGCUGAAGCAGCAGCAAGUCACAUAACCUCAUUUAGUUUUUUGAUUUACAAAAUGUGGAUAAUAACCUACCUCACAGAUGUGUGUGAGCAACUGUUUGAAAGCCCUUGUUUAAAUACAGGGUUUAUAUCCCCACAUUCAAUGUAAAUUCCUUUUUUUAAAAAAAAUAAGUAUCUUUGAUACUGAUAGGAUGAGUAUCUUGAUUUUUAGGUAAGAUCACAGUUUCACAAAUUGCGGUGUUGUUAGGUGAUAUUUAAUAUUUCUUGAGACCUCAAGUAUUCAAAUAUCAAACUUGUCCUGUGUUGUAACAAAUAUUCAGAAUCUCUUAAAAUGUUGGCUGAAGCUGCCUUAAUGUACCAAAAUACAGCUCUCAAGACUGUUCACAAAUAUCUGUGGUUGUACAAUGUUUUGAACAUUUAAUGUAAAGUUGUUAUAGAACUGUGAACUCUAAGGAUAGUAUCUUUAUUGUUUUAGGAAGAAUGGUUGUGUUCUUUGUCAUGUAUGCUUAAAUAUACAGUGGAUUUUGAGUGCAACAAAUAAAACUGAAAACAGCCAUUUGGUUGUGUCAUGACAAUCAUAAUAUAGGAUAUAAUAUUUACUUUUUUUCAAAAACAUCCUGCAUUCAUUCAUUCUUAGCCUACCUUUGAAAAAGAAAAAAAAAUCCAUAGGUUGAUACAUUGACCCAUUGAAUACUUCAUUACGUAUUUAUUGAAAAUUUUUUUUAAUUGUUGAAAUUGGGACCACUUUUUAUAAUUGGUUUCAAGAAAAAAAAUGAACAGACUUCCAGUGCUUUUCUGUUCAAAUAAACUCCGAUUCAAAUUUCAGUUUUGUUUGUUAUAUACUUUUUGUGAGUGUUAAAUGAUAUGGGAAGGAUUUGUCUUUCAGUAACCAUAUGGAAAAGAUGUCUUCCUGAAUUACAUAGCAUUUCAUAGUUACAGAUUCUUCCUAAUUAAUGUUUGCACCGUAUGAAACUCAUAGGUAACAAACACAAAGGAGAAAAGCAGCCUGUCUGAUUGCUUAUAAGCUUUUUUCACAAAAUCAAAUUAAAGUCUCUGAUUCAUUUGAAAGCUA